rnacentral:lncRNA from 1 species
CAGUAUUUCUGACGUCAACAUGCUGACGAAUCGGCCUGUGAGUGUGAUGACAAGCAGCACUGAUGGCAUGGGGGACACUGAUCACCCAAGACUUGUGAGUGUCAAUCUUGAAAACCCCUCCUGUAACUCCAGGUUAGACCCAAGAGACCCGAGACAACUGCAUCAGAUGUCUACUGCCAGUAUGUCAGCAGCAGGCACCAGUUCCAGUUCUGUUUUUGUUUCACAGUCGGAUACAUUCAAUAGACCCCACUUCAGUUGUAUAGAUAAUGGUCUGACAAAUGAACCCGGAUUAGCAAACGACGCACAUCAUCCUAACUUUGCCCAGAGCAGUCAGUACUCAGGUAUCGAUGCUCUGCAGAGUGAGCAGUUGGGCGACUCCUUCGAGUAUAGUUUUUUCAAAAUAUAAGUUGUAGGACUUAAAUAGGUGUACAGACUAUUAAGAGGAAGUUCAGAUGUCAGAACUUUAAAGCUGCCACUGUUUCUUACUUUGAAAAAGAUAUGCCUGAAGUACAUGUGCUUGAUGCGAAUUGUUUUUCUGUAUUUCCCCAAGACCAGCUAUGGGUCUUUAUAAUGUAUUAGUUAAAUGAAAGGAUAUUUGCUUUCAAGCAGAUUUAAAGUAAAACAUGUAAUGGCUAUGCCAUUGGGAAAUAAACUCAUUGUUGUUGAGGCCCAUAGGCCAAA